AUUGAACGCUGGCGGCAGGCCUAACACAUGCAAGUCGAGCGAGCGGCGGACGGGUGAGUAAUGUAUGGGGACUGCCCGAUAGAGGGGGAUAACUACUGGAAACGGUAGCUAAUACCGCAUACUAUCGGAUAACCCAGAUGGGAUUAGCUAGUUGGUGAGGUAAUUGCUCACCAAGGAGACGAUCCCUCGCUGGUCUGAGAGGAUGAUCAGCCAAACUGGGACUGAGACACGGCACAGAGUCCGACGGAGGAAGGAGUGGGGAAUAUUGGGCAAGGGGCGCAAGACUGAACCAGCAACGCGGCGUGAAGGAAGACGGUCUUCGGAUGGUAAACUUCUUUAGACAGGGACGCGGUACCUGUAGAAUAAGCAACGGCUAACUACGUGCCAGCAGCCGCGGUAAUUC
rnacentral:rRNA from 1 species